rnacentral:rRNA from 1 species
UACGUAGGGGGCAAGCGUUGUCCGGAUUUAUUGGGCGUAAAGAGCGUGUAGGCGGCUUUACAGGUCCGUUGUGAAAACUCGAGGCUCAACCUCGAGACGCCGGUGGAAACCGUAAGGCUAGAGUCCGGAAGAGGAGAGUGGAAUUCCUGGUGUAGCGGUGAAAUGCGCAGAUAUCAGGAAGAACACCCGUGGCGAAGGCGGCUCUCUGGGACGGUACUGACACUGAGGAGCGAAAGCGUGGGGAGCGAACAGG